AAAAGGUGCCGAGAGAGUCUGCUAGCAGACUAAGCUCGUAGACAGGGAUCGAUCAUGGACACGAGACGUGCCGCUCUCUGCUUUCUCUUAGUACUCGCGAUCUUGCACGCAAACCCUACAUCUAUUUCGGCGGGCGACGGCGAGGUGUGCAAAUAUGGGACACCGUUGUUACCGUUCUGCAAAGAUUGGAGCUGCAAGGCAGGGUGCUGGGUGGAGGCGAAGCUGCUCCGCGCUCGUGUAAAGGAACACAGGUGCAUCAAAGGCGGCUUAAAGGGCGUGUGCUAUUGCCUCUUCUGCGGGAAGCACUUGGCGCUCGAUUAAAACAAUCUCGGACCGGAGCUAUUUGCUGUCAAUGAGGAAUCCAUGCUUCGUCAUCUUAAAAUUAGCGUAUUCCUCCUCUGUUAAAGGUGGUGGUACCUUGGUCGUGCUAAUGUGUGGUUAAAAUAUAUCUAAUAAUCUUAUAAUUGGGAGAAGAAAUUCCUUUUC